AAAGUUUAGGGAUAAAAAUGAAAAUUUCUAAAAGUAUGAUUUUUUGGUCAAAUUGAAUAAUGUAAAUAAUAAAUGAGCUAUAUUUGAAAUUUUAGAUCAAGAAAAUUGAGAUUCAGGCUUAAAUCGAGAAAGUUCGAGAUUAUGGACUAAAUUGGAAUAGUUGUCCGUAAUUGCUUUUGAGGUAAGUUCGUGUGAUAAUAAUAAAGCAAUGUUAUGGUUGAAUUAUAUUCCUUACUAUUAUUUCAUAUAUUAUAUGAUUUAACAUAU
rnacentral:lncRNA from 1 species